UCUGAUGGAUAUUGUAGGGCUGCGGUAUACUUGACUGUACAAMGGUMGCAUAAUAGWUUGUCUACUAWRUGUUGGCUUGUAUGAMCGGUUUGACRAGAUGUUWMCUGUCUCCWUUGUAAAUGAUUGAMAUWCMCUUCCUUAMKUGAAGAGGCUAGGAUGUUUUUGAGGGACGAAAAGACCCUAUAGAUUUUUAUUAAUUAUGUAUUUGAUUUUAUUAGUUAUGUUUGGAAAUAUUUAGGUAUAGUAAUUGGUUUUGCUGGGGCGGCAAUUGAGGAUUUUUAUCUUCAGUAUAUUUAAAUCAUCUAUGGAUGUAAUGAUCCUUUAUUAUGGAAAGAAAGAAUAAAUACCUUAGGGAUAACAGCGUUAUUUUUCCGGAGAGUUCUUAUCGAUGGAAAUGAUUUGCGACCUCGAUGUUGAAUUAGGGUUUGAAUUUUGUGUGAAGUAG
rnacentral:rRNA from 1 species